UGUGGAGAAGCCUGCGUCUGAUUAGCUUGUUGGUGGGGUAAUGGCCUACCAAGGCGAUGAUCGGUAGCUGGUCUGAGAGGAUGAUCAGCCACACUGGGACUGAGACACGGCCCAGACUCCUACGGGAGGCAGCAGUGGGGAAUAUUGGACAAUGGGCGCAAGCCUGAUCCAGCAAUGCCGCGUGAGUGAAGAAGGUCUUCGGAUUGUAAAGCUCUUUUGGCGGGGACGAUGAUGACGGUACCCGCAGAAUAAGCCCCGGCUAACUUCGUGCCAGCAGCCGCGGUAAUACGAAGGGGGCUAGCGUUGCUCGGAAUGACUGGGCGUAAAGGGCGCGUAGGCGGAUUGUACAGUCAGACGUGAAAUUCCUGGGCUCAACCUGGGGGCUGCGUUUGAUACGUAUAGUCUUGAGUGAGGAAGAGGGUUGUGGAAUUCCCAGUGUAGAGGUGAAAUUCGUAGAUAUUGGGAAGAACACCGGUGGCGAAGGCGGCGACCUGGUCCUUUACUGACGCUGAGGCGCGAAAGCGUGGGGAGCAAACAGGAUUAGAU
rnacentral:rRNA from 1 species